AAGGAUCAUUAAUGAUUUAGGUGGGGGGAGGCACGGCACGGCACGCGCUUCCCCCCCAUUACCCAUUACAUCCCUGUGAACCGUGGGUGAAAGAGUUUUCCAACCUUUUCAUCUCCCCUCUUUAAAAACACACAACGUCCAUUGAAUGUCUAUUGAAAUCAAAAAUUUCUAUACAACUUUUAGCAACGGAUCUCUUGGCUCUC
rnacentral:misc_RNA from 1 species